rnacentral:tRNA from 1 species
GGCAUGUAGCUCAGCAGUACAGCACCUGCCUGGAAAGCAUGAGGUCCUGGUUUCAAUUUCCAGUACCA